GACGAACGCUGGCGGCGUGCCUAACACAUGCAAGUCGAACGAGGUCCAAGGAAGCUUGCUUCCUGAAGACCUAGUGGCGAACGGGUGAGUAACACGUGAGAAACCUGCCUCGGAGUGGGGAAUAACUCGGGGAAACUCGAGCUAAUACCGCAUACCUUCACAUGAUCGCAUGGUCGAGUGAAGAAAGAAUUUCGCUCUGAGAGGGUCUCGCGGCCUAUCAGCUUGUUGGUGGGGUAACGGCCUACCAAGGCAACGACGGGUAGCUGGUUUGAGAGAACGAUCAGCCACACUGGGACUGAGACACGGCCCAGACUCCUACGGGAGGCAGCAGUGGGGAAUCUUGCGCAAUGGGCGAAAGCCUGACGCAGCAACGCCGCGUGCGGGAUGACGGCCUUCGUGGUUGUAAACCGCGUUUCAGCAGGGACGGAAAAUAGACGGUACCUGCAGAAGAAGCCCGGCUAACUACGUGCCAGCAGCCGCGGUAAU
rnacentral:rRNA from 1 species